ensembl:lncRNA
CAGAUCGGAAAAGAAAAUCUAGAGUGUGCCAUAUUAACAUGUUGAAACGUUAUUUUUCCAGAGUGAGUGAAUCCCCGCUGUCUCUUGCUGCACCCGUGAUGUCCGUGUCCGCUACUCCUCCUCAGUACCACCUAGCCGAUGAUGGGUUGGCAGAGAAAAGUGGUUUGAUGCCGGCCGCGUGUUUGAGAAAUUCAGAGGCAAACGUCUGUCCUGUUCCAUGACAUUGACGUGGAGGGUCACAAACCCAUUAAGCAACAUGCGUAUCGCGUAAAUCCGGCCAAAAGGGCUAUGAUGCAGCAGGAGGAUUUUAACCUGCAGAUCCGCCACAAAAAGGGUACGGAGAACGUAAUCGCAGACGCCUUAUCCAGGUGCUCAGCUUUAUAGGAAGUAAACCUUUUAGGGGAAGGUUUACUUCUUGGGUGUGGGGGUGUUAUGACUGGGGUCAUCUGUGUAGUGUUUGUGGGUUUCUUUUGGUGUCUUUCUGGUUUCUUUAUUCAAACAGGGAUGUGCCACCACCAGGCGCGGAUUGGUGCACGGUCUCCCACCCGUCCUGUGAUUGGCUGCAGCCGGCAUAUAAUGGAAGCCAAGAUGGCGUCCGAGGCAGAGCAGACCAGAGCAGGGGAGAACAGCAGCAGAGCACAACCCUCGUCCUCCUCCUCUUCCAACCAGCCACUUGUAGCAUACCGUGAAG